GAUGAACGCUAGCGGCAGGCCUAACACAUGCAAGUCGAGGGGUAACUAGAGUGAUAGCAAUAUUACUUUGGCUAGACCGGCGCACGGGUGCGUAACACGUAUGCAACCUACCUUAUACUGGGGAAUAACUUCGAGAAAUCGGCGCUAAUACCCCAUAACAUUGCGAAGAGGCAUCUCUUUGCAAUUAAAGCUCCUGCGGUAUAAGAUGGGCAUGCGUCCAAGUAGCUAGUUGGUGAGGUAACGGCUCACCAAGGCUACGAUUGGUAGGGGUUCUGAGAGGAUGAUCCCCCACACUGGUACUGAGACACGGACCAGACUCCUACGGGAGGCAGCAGUGAGGAAUAUUGCGCAAUGGACGAAAGUCUGACGCAGCCAUGCCGCGUGCAGGAUGACGGCCCUAUGGGUUGUAAACUGCUUUUGUACGGGAAUAAACCCUUCUACGUGUAGGAGGCUGAAGGUACCGUAAGAAUAAGCACCGGCUAACUCCGUGCCAGCCGCCGCGGUAA
rnacentral:rRNA from 1 species